GGGGCACUAGUAAACAUAUUACAUAGCACUGUCAGCGCUAAGUCACGGACCCCCCGUGUGCCCCU
rnacentral:tRNA from 1 species